UUUUUAUUUUAAUUGUAGGCUCUCAAAAGAUCUUCAUGAGCCACUAUUGCUGGCCAGAAGGAAGAUCAUGGAGCAUGGUUCCAGUCAAAGAUACAAGAUGAUGCAAGAAAUAUAUGAAAUUGCAGCAAUGGCACGUUCUUUACUUCACAAGAAAGUACGGCAGCAUCGUGCAUAUAUAACAUCAAAACCUUCGCAUGCCCCUGCAGCCAAAACACAUUCUUUAAGAAGUGAUCAACUUACUACAGUGGAUAGUGGUGGGCAUAGUGAAAGUACUCCCAUUGGAACUAAAACACAAUCAUCAGUAAGGACUGAGCUUCCUCAAGUUGGUGAAACUGUGCAAGUUUUAUCCCUGGGAAGAAAAGCAACAAUUUUAAGAGUGGAUCAAUCAAAAGAUGAAAUAUUAGUUCAAGCUGGCAACAUGAAGUUGAUACUAAAGUUAAGGGAUAUCGAGACUUGAAUGAUCUGCCGUUGAGAGACAUCCAGUUUCAAUAAGGAUGAAGCUGCAGAAACUAGUUCUCUUGUGAACUGAGGAUCUGAUAAUUGACAGGUGGUAUAGAAGUAUAAUGAAUACCUGAGAUCAUACCCUAUGCAGAGACAAUUACCCAUUUUUACCUGACAAAGAUCCUAUAACUUCUGCCGAAUCGAAAGAGGAUGCCAUAUGCUAACAUGGAAACCGCUUAUGUACAAUGCUACAUGGGUGAAGUGUUUAGCUCAUUCUCAUUGCAGCAACUAACAGCUGUUGCCCUUGGAGCGGUCAGCUGUGUAAAAUCUUUUAUACACAUUCUUUGUAAUGUUCUCUAGCAGAACAUGUACUCCGGAAGAUCCUGAUUGUAGAUUUGAUUCAAUAACCUGCAUCUACGAGUUUAUGUUUUUGGAGGGCAUCCUACUGUGCUUUUAUUUAUAAAGCAAGUGGUGUCAAAGAAAUUGUGAUCCAUUUACACCAGAUUAGCUUGCCUUUCCUCCAGAUUAGCUAUGUUUUGUUACCGCUAUUCAUUUAUCUAUAAGCCUGUAGGUUGUUGUAGAAACUGUUUAACGAUGUCUUUAUACUUGAGCUAAAUGAUUAACCUUGUGAAUAUAAUUAUCAGAAGUAAUUCUUGCA